UUAAAUAUCACGACUCAACUCUCGCAAUCUACUAAUUAAGUUGCUCUGAGAGUCGAUUAACCACCUCUGUCUCUACCGCGAGUUUCACUUCUCGCCGAAGGUCACUACUAGCACUUCGCUAGUGCCAUCUUGCUCUAUACCUAUACUGGCAGGUACUACGCCCUCACAACACGAGCAUGCUCGGGUAUCUAUACUCACCCGUCCAUUCGGUCUUCACUAUGCUCAUGCACGGCAAUAGUAAUUAACCGCAUAACCAUUGCAUGCAAUGCAUCAACUUUACAUUCUACAGAAGCCUAUGCUUGCUUCAAUUAACUCAUACCUACCAUAGUAUCGUCGAUAACAGCAGGUUUCACAACCCGGUUCGCAUAUCCACGGCCUCUUGGGGCCCGCGGCGAACCCUCCGGUUGUCACCUCCUCACCACUCGUUCUCCAGACCAUUCUGUGGAUGUCACACCCACAAGCUGUCUCGGAGAGGAAGAGGCUAUCACCCACGUCACGACCCGGCAAUCGCCCACACGAAUGCCCAUCUCAUCACGCAGCACACACUGCUACGCCUGGUGAGAACUUCUACAUCCCGCAUCCCAAGGAGGUUAAUAGAAGACACCUCCGAGGUUCAGGAUUGCAAUUGCACUCAAGAAUGUGCACUGCCCAUACUGGGCAAUUUCGAGCUACGGGGACCGGUCUCUCCCUGCCAGGGACCGGUCCCCGAGGGCAAUCUCCGCCAAGUGCAGACUUUGCACUAAUUGCUCUCGUGGACUCCAACUCUAACGCACUUUUGGUGAUUUAAAUAUCUUCGGCUUUUCCGAAGCACACCAACACGACCCUUGGUCGAUUCUAAGCGAAGUCUAACUCUCGUAUUUCGAGAAUUCACUUCCUUAUAUGCACAACCUCGACCACGUCCGGCCAAGGUCUUCGCAGAGGCACAUCGGCCAAUUCCUCGUCAUCCCGCACUACGUUCGGGACACAACUCACGAUACGAGAGAAUUCCUACUUGUAUUCCCUCACGGCACGGUUUACCUGCCGUAGCUUCGGGAACCUUUCCUGAAGCUUUUCUUUCUCAGCAUUGGGAAAGUAAACAGGGAAUAUUAAUCCCCGAAACUCAUCCCGAAUCACAGGAGGAAAACUAGGCAAUCGAUUCCGUCGAAUGCCUUUCCACCACACCUUCGCCGAUUGUUUGCAAGCAACGCACAGCUAGGUGUAUCCUCUCACUCUACAGUGCACAGGUCCCCAAAGGGAGUCUCUAUGAAGUCGAUCCACAACUCCACGACUAACGGAUCCGUAUUCUCUCCAUCAAAGGCAGACGGAUUUAAUAGCUUAAAGGUCAUGAGGGCCACCGAAGCUCGGUCUUUCACCGCUUUCGCUUCUGAAGUACUAGAAGUCGGACUGCUCGAACCCGACAGAAAUACUUCCGUCGCAACUCCCGGUCGUACUCGACGAACGGCAGCUGGUAUAGCCACCAGUUGAUCUAUCGCUUCCUGGAGUCUUCUCAUUUGCUCCUUCUGGGAUACGGCAGCUUCCUGCUGACGCCGCACUAAUUCGGCUCGUCACCCCGCCACUCACACGAGAGUGGACAAUCGCUCACGAAGUCCCAAGUCUCCGUUCACUUCGGAUUGCUCAGGGACGACACUCGUCCCAUCCCGUGCCAAUCUACAUGAAGAUCGCCUACGCAGUUCCAUCGCUUCCCAAGACGCGACAGCUCGAUCGAUUCUCGAUCCUCAAAGUCGAGCGCGAAACAACUGACAUCGACUCAAAUCGGGCGAAAGUCACGCAAGGGUAUCUAUUCUCAACACUCGGUUUCAUGUUGUGUCGACCCAACAUGAACACCCUCGGUUGAGAACAAACCACACCUCGAGUCUACCUCUAAUAUCCGUUAUAGAGGCUUCAACACUGACCCAAUCGAUUAAUCUUUCGCCAUAAGCCAUAAGUCCUCGUCUCUCACGAGCCUUAUUCUCCUAUGGUUUACUAUCCUAGGGUCUUCUAGGUCUGCCUAAACCAUUCAUAUUCUCUACUUUAUUCUCUGAUACCAUCUUAUCUGUCAAGCCCCGCGACCACCCGCCUAUUUGGCCGGGUCGCGGCGCCGCAACAGACCGCCGAACGGACAGGGUUUCCCCUGUACCGCGGACAGAGUCUCCCCUAUACAUUCAAGGCGUCGCAAUCAAUACAAUGUACAAAGUUCCAACCAGGAACACAUUUCAAUCAAAGAUUGCAUAAUGGAAGGUAUCAAACAACAUAACACAUCCUAUAUUAUUACAUGCAUUCACAUUCAUACAUUUUACAUCCCAAAUACUUAUUACAUUUAACUUCCAAAUACAAUCCGAUUUAACAUGGUUAUUACAAUCUUAUUCCUUUCAUUUUCUUACUUCCCUAAGUAAAGCCGACUCAGGGUACCGCUAUCUCUGGUCUCGGUGGUAGGGCGCUAACUAUGAUGCUACGCCCUCGCCUCGCGCCGCCGCGCCGCUCACGUGUGAACCUGUAACACCCCAAAACCACGUGGGGUGAGAACCAACUCCAUGGUUCCCAGUGGGUACGGCCACCCAAGGGAAAAGCUCGACCAAUAGGUCCAAGGGAGGCAACUGCAAGUUAGUUCAAUAAACAGAUAGAUAUAUAUCUUGAUUAUGCAACGAAUAAAACCAUGCAUUGCCUCACGAAUGCAAUAAUGUAAUGCUAUAUGCAAAUCAUGCAAUAAUGCAACUAUGCAACCAACUAGUAGUUCAUUCGAUACUACUUUCAAUUCUGCUAACCAUAGCUCAUCCAUUUGAUAUUUAAGGUUUCCUCUAUCUUAGAUUCUUGUCAAUCACCGUUUUAAUCAUAAGGUUUCAUCUUCCUUUACAAGGCUAACCACCCGACUCGGUCUUGAGUCAAUCGUCUGCGGAGUACCGCACUAGAACCAGGCUCGAGGCGAUGGACGUCUCACAUACACCUCAGCCCUAGAUCCUCUCGACUAGGAUACCAAAUCCAUAACUCAUAAUGCAUACUUGUUGUACACUCAUUUGGCUAUGACCCAAUCUUACCGGUUAACCAUGUUAACCCCAAUAACUCACAACCAAAUCCCUUAAUAACGGGGGACUCGAACCUCCCUAGGGACCGUCAACUGGUGGGACUUUACCACGCCCAGUGGUGACCAACUCCGGAGCGCACCGCCCGAGGGGGAGCUACCUCCCUCAAGCCAAGACUUAUCGUGAGUAUCGAUCCAAUCCUCAACUUGAGGAUUCAUAGCCACUCGUCACAAUGCCAAUGUCAUGAUAGGUCUCUACCUAUUUAAUCAUGCCACUCUCUAUGUCAACUUGGACCAAUGUCAAUAUGGUUAAACUAUGUUUAACAAUCACUUUCUUGAUGCCAAUCAUGUCUCUAUUGUCAUUGUCACCCUUGUUUACUAAUGUUCAAGUCCAACUCUCACAUUUACACAAUAAUAGGGUCCUAACAUACAUGAAUGACACCAGAAUAUAUAUGAUCAAUCACCACAAGUGUUUGCUAGGUUCAAGAUGCUAGGUUUAAUGCCACUCGAUCUAAUAUAUAUAUAGAUUGUCCACUAUGUUCCACAACAUGGCAAUAUGUCAUCAAGUAUGUUUUUCUAUUUAACAUAAUCCACAAUAUGUAAAUUCAUAAUAUAUCAUCAUGCACAUAUACCACUAGCAUCACAUGAUUUGUCAACAUACAUAUAGUCAUUAUCCAAAAUAGUCCAUACUUAGCAUCUCAUGCAUUCUUUUAGCACUUAAUUCAUUAUGCAUUACAUUUAGCAUAUUCUACAACAUGUCAUCAUACAUUCCUUUUAUGAUGUUCUUAUAAUGCUAACAUUCAUACGCCCUUUAUAUUAUGCAUUCAAAGCAUUAAUCAUAUGCAUUUAUCUAGCAUUUCUAUAGUAUGUUAACAUGCAUUCUUUUCACAUUCUUAUAUUAUGUCAAUAUGCAUCAAUAUGAAAUCUCAUUUCUUAGACAUAAAGGGCGACCUAGUCGCUUCGGUAAGCACAACCCACCUCAUUUCGCAUUCCGAUUGCUUGUCGACACUUGCAAUCGGCCUCCCGC
rnacentral:lncRNA from 1 species